UACGAAGGGGGCGAGCGUUGUUCGGAAUUACUGGGCGUAAAGGGCGCGUAGGCGGCGACCCAAGUCAGAUGUGAAAGUCCUGGGCUUAACCUGGGGACUGCAUUUGAUACUGGGUUGCUUGAAUUCGGGAGAGGAUAGCGGAAUUCCCAGUGUAGAGGUGAAAUUCGUAGAUAUUGGGAAGAACACCGGUGGCGAAGGCGGCUAUCUGGACCGACAUUGACGCUGAGGCGCGAAAGCGUGAGGAGCAAACAGG
rnacentral:rRNA from 1 species